GAGACCACGAGGGCCGAUCUCAGAAAUCGAAGAGGCACCUACUUUUCCAGCCUUGUCAGCACCUGUCACACGCACACUCAGCUUUGCGGAAAUUAUGGCAUUCUGUCAAAGACUUCUGGGGAAGUAGAAAACACAUGAAUCUUACUGUUCAAUCACCCACUUCCCACACGCAACAAUAGCUCAUGGGUACCAUAGAUAACUUUGCCAAAGUUCUCUGCCAAAGUUGAGCACGUGAAGCUUGCAGCUUCCACUACAUCGCUCUGACCAAGAAGGGUAAAAGAAUAGCAAAGAAACAGCACUAACAAAGUUUAGACCCAUAAAUUUUGAAGGUCUAGCUACCAUAUUAUUACCCACAAGGGUAAAGGAACAGUACCACUGCUGGAGGAUAAUUGGAAAGUCCAUGUAUGUCAACCUCUGUGCUUCGUGGCAAGGUAGACUAGCAAACAUGCCCAACCUUUACUCACAUUCGAGAAAACACUCCCAAAAGAUUGCUUGCUCCAAAAUCGAAGAGGCACCGUCCUCCGAAUCUAAAGAGCCAGACUCCCAACAUGACUACUUUCUUAAAAAUCGAAGAGAGGGUAAAGAACAGUACCAUUGCUGGAUAAUUGGAAAGUCCCUGUGUGUCAACCUCUGUGCUUCGUGGCAAGGUAGACUAGCAAACAUGCCCAACCUUUACUCACAUUCGAGAAAAACACUCCCAACAAGAUUGCUUGCUCCAAAAUCGAAGAGGCACCGCCCUCCGAAUCUCGAGAGCCACUCUCCCAACAUGAUUACUUUCUCUCAAAAAUCGAAGAGACACUGCUCCCCGAAUCUCGAGAGUCAGACCCCCAGCAUGAUUGCUUUCUCAAAAAUCGGUGAGGCACCGUUCUCCGAAUCAAUCGAAGAGGCGCUCGCUUUUCUCAAAAGCUGGGCUGCUCAGAGACCACGAGGGCCGAUCUCAGAAAUCGAAGAGGCACCUACUUUUCUAGCCUUGUCAGCACCUGUCACACGCACACUCAGCUUUGCAGAAAUUAUGGGCAUUCUGUCGAAGACUUUCUGGUGAAGUAGAAAGCACAUGAUGAAUCUUACUGUUCAAUCACCCACUUCCCACACGCAACAAUAACUCAUGGGUACCACAGAUCACUUUGCCAAAGUUCUCUGCCAAAGUUGAGCACGUGAAGCUUACAGCUCCCACUACAUCGCUCUGACCAGAAAGGUAAAAGAAUAGCAAAGAAACAGCACUAACAAAGUUUAGACACAUAAAUUUUGAAGGUCUAGCUACCAUAUUAUUACCCACAGGGUAAAGGAACAGUACCACUGCUGGAUAAUUGGAA
rnacentral:lncRNA from 1 species